rnacentral:rRNA from 1 species
CGAAAGCCUGACGGAGCAAGACCGCGUGUGGGAGGAAGGCCUACUGGUUGUAAACCACUUUUGACCGGGAAGAACACAAUGACGGUACCGGUCGAAUCAGCCUCGGCUAACUCCGUGCCAGCAGCCGCGGUAAUACGGAGGAGGCAAGCGUUAUCCGGAAUUAUUGGGCGUAAAGCGUCCGUAGGUGGAUGUUCAAGUCAGUUGUUAAAGCGUGGAGCUUAACUCCAUAAGGGCAAUUGAAACUGAGCGUCUAGAGUGCGAUAGGGGCAAGGGGAAUUCCCAGUGUAGCGGUGAAAUGCGUAGAUAUUGGGAAGAACAUCGGUGGCGAAAGCGCCUUGCUGGGUCUGCACUGACACUGAGGGACGAAAGC